rnacentral:lncRNA from 1 species
UCCAACUUGCUCCUCAUGUCUGACGUGUUGAGUCAAGAUGAGCUGCGAGAAAAGCUACACCAAACGUUGAAGGAUCGGGGUGUACUGGGCACACUCAAACACAAAUUCAAAACCAGCUAAUCUAUGAGUAGAUGCACCCUGAAUUGAAUGGAACAUUGCAAUCUCCGUUCAUUUCAGUGCAAGGGAACUCCCUCUUACUAGCAGCCUCUAACUCUUCAGUGGCCGAUCACUAACAAAGAUGUGGCUAUGAGUCUUCACUUUCUGUUUUCUUUCCAGAAAUUGGUUUAGCAAAAGAAAAUGUAUUUACUAUGCAGGAUGGAUUGCACUCAAUAAAAAUCACCGUACUUCAGGUUUCUAGAAAUCACCGGUCUCAGGAUUUGAUAAAGAAAACCAAAAAUCUGACAACCUUCAGCUUAUUGGUGAUCAACUGGCAGAUGCUUAUCCUAAGCAUAUAAAGUUUGAGUCUUUAGAAAUAAAGCUAAAUGAAGAUAAGAGAGAAAUAGAAAAGCAACUUCUGGCAGAAAUGUGUCAAAAGUUGAAGUUUUUUAUGAAAGUUAUAAUAGAGUGUGAGAAGGAAUUAUCUAUGUUCUGAAAUGAUUUUGAGAAAGCUUGUCAAGCGGAAUCUGAAAACUUUAUUCUUUGGAAAAAGAGUACCCUUGAGAGACAUCAAAAGCACCAAGAGAUUGAAACAAGAAAAUCUAUGCUCAAAGCCUUGUUUUACUAAAAGAUAUAGAUUUGUUAAGAGGAAAAAAGGCAAAGCUAAAGCAGAGAGUUGAAGCUUUUGAAUUGAACCCAGGAACUCCAGGAAGAAAAACAUAAAAGCAUGACUGAGGACUUAGGAGAUGGGAGCAGAAUACAAAGUGUCUUGAGGAAACCUAUGACUGAAACCUAAAAAACGUACUUCUAAAGAAAAGCUGUUUACUUGCAAGAGGAGCUCACAGUUAGUAAUCCAAAAAAGGAGGAACUCAAUCAAUCUGUAAGUUUUAUGUAAGAACUCCAGAUUGAGUUAAUGUCUGUCAAAGCACAGUCUUUGGCAAUAACAAAACAAAUAUAUUGUGAAUGAAAGUGUUCAAGAGAUAAGUGACUAUUUACUACUAAAGGAAGAAAAACUGGAAGAGAAUAAAAAUAAAAACAUGCAUCUCUUAAACC